rnacentral:rRNA from 1 species
UACGGAGGGUGCGAGCGUUAUCCGGAAUUACUGGGUUUAAAGGGUGCGUAGGCGGCUUUGUAAGUCAGGAGUGAAAGUUUGCGGCUCAACCGUAAAAUUGCUUUUGAUACUGCAGAGCUAGAAUCAGGAUGAGGUUAGCGGAAUGUGGCAUGUAGCGGUGAAAUGCAUAGAUAUGCCAUAGAACACCAAUUGCGAAGGCAGCUGGCUAGACCUGCAUUGACGCUGAGGCACGAAAGCGUGGGGAGCGAACAGG